GGGGGGUGGUGUUGAUCUGAGCUGCAGGUAAGAGAUACAAAGUGUUUAGGGACUGUUAAAUAGUUUAGGAUAAAACUGUAAAAUAUAAUUUGGGUAAAAUGAUAGAGGGUUCUGAAUUCCAAAAGUCAUUUUUUGUUUUCUUGGUAAAAUUUUUAAUUGCUCAAAUGUUUUCCCAGUGUAUUUCAACAUCUCUUUAGAAUAGUGGUUAUCAAGUUUCAGUAUGCGUCAGAAUCACCUGGGGGACUUGUUCAAACACAAAUUGCUGUACUCCACCCCAAAGUUUUUAAUUCACUGGGUUGGCGUCUGUGUAAUAACAUAUUCCUAGGUGAUAUGAAUGCUGCUGGUCACUUUGAGAACCACUGCUUUAGAAGAUGGUAAGACAGAGUCGGAAGGAGGAGGUUUUACCUAAAAGUCCAUAACUGUGGGAAUGAGAAGAUCCAUAAUCAAAGGACCCCAGGCCAACGAGCUUGGACAGUUAAAGGAGACUUAACUAGCAUUAAGCAUAUUCAAGAAUUGAAAACAAUAGAGCCAAGAGAUUGAAGAAGGACUCACAUCCUUAUAAGAAGAGGAAGAGACACUAAGGAGAGUGCACACAGAGAGAAGGCCAUGCAAGAAGACAUGGUGAGAAGGUUGUCUGCAAGCCAAGGAGAGAGGCCUCAUGAGAAACCAACUCUACUGACACCUUGAUCCUGGACUUCCGGCCUCCAAA